UACGGGGGGGGCAAGCGUUGUUCGGAAUUACUGGGCGUAAAGGGCUCGUAGGCGGCCAACUAAGUCGGAUGUGAAAUCCCCAGGCUUAACCUGGGAACUGCAUCCGAUACUGGAUGGCUUGAAUCCGGGAGAGGGAUGCAGAAUUCCAGGUGUAGCGGUGAAAUGCGUAGAUAUCUGGAGGAAUACCGGUGGCGAAGGCGGCAUCCUGGACCGGCAUUGACGCUGAUGAGCGAAAGCUAGGGGAGCAAACAGG
rnacentral:rRNA from 1 species